AAUUUUAAAAUGAGUUGUCUAUUGAAUACUUAGGUACAAUAUAGUCUUCUUUGGUGGCAUUGAUGGAUUUUCCAGAAAGAUCAUGUACCUAGGUGUCGCAAAUAACAAUCUGUCAUCUACAGCCUUGGCCUUCUUCCAGCAGUCCAUUGAACAUUAUGGAUUUCCACUGAGAGUAAGAGGUGACCAUGGUGUAGAGAAUGUCGACAUAGCACGCCUGAUGUUCACCGUACGGGGCACAGGAAGGUCCAGCUUUAUUGCUCGAAAGAGUGUCGACAAUCAGAGGCAGGUAG